GUGGGGAAUAUUGGACAAUGGGGGGAACCCUGAUCCAGCCAUGCCGCGUGUGUGAAGAAGGCCUUUUUGGUUGUAAAGCACUUUAAGCGAGGAGGAGGCUACCGAGAUUAAUACUCUUGGAUAGUGGACGUUACUCGCAGAAUAAGCACCGGCUAACUCUGUGCCAGCAGCCGCGGUAAUACAGAGGGUGCAAGCGUUAAUCGGAUUUACUGGGCGUAAAGCGCGCGUAGGUGGCCAAUUAAGUCAAAUGUGAAAUCCCCGAGCUUAACUUGGGAAUUGCAUUCGAUACUGGUUGGCUAGAGUAUGGGAGAGGAUGGUAGAAUUCCAGGUGUAGCGGUGAAAUGCGUAGAGAUCUGGAGGAAUACCGAUGGCGAAGGCAGCCAUCUGGCCUAAUACUGACACUGAGGUGCGAAAGCAUGGGGAGCAAACAGGAUUAGAAACCCUGGUAGUCC
rnacentral:rRNA from 1 species